rnacentral:rRNA from 1 species
GACGAACGCUGGCGGCGUGCCUAAUACAUGCAAGUCGAACGCUUUUUCUUUCACCGGAGCUUGCUCCACCGAAAGAAAAAGAGUGGCGAACGGGUGAGUAGCACGUGGGUAACCUGCCCAUCAGAAGGGGAUAACACUUGGAAACAGGUGCUAAUACCGUAUAACACUAUUUUCCGCAUGGAAGAAAGUUGAAAGGCGACUUUGCGUCACUGAUGGAUGGACACGGGGUGCAUUAGCUAGUUGGUGAGGUAACGGCUCACCAAGGCAACGAUGCAUAGCCGACCUGAGAGGGUGAUCGGCCACACUGGGACUGAGACACGGCCCAGACUCCUACGGGAGGCAGCAGUAGGGAAUCUUCGGCAAUGGACGAAAGUCUGACCGAGCAACGCCGCGUGAGUGAAGAAGGUUUUCGGAUCGUAAAACUCUGUUGUUAGAGAAGAACAAGGAUGAGAGUAAAACGUUCAUCCCUUGACGGUAUCUAACCAGAAAGCCACGGCUAACUACGUGCCAGCCGCCGCAGUAA